rfam:Felis catus breed Abyssinian Contig115086.1, whole genome shotgun sequence. [26-MAY-2016]
GCCUGAGUGGCUUAGUCAGUUAAGCCUCUGACUCUCGUUCAGGUCAUGAUCUCUCGGUGUGUGGGUUCAAGCCCUGCGUCAGGCU